AGACCACUGAGAGGAUGAGCCAAGUGGAGAGAGAAAUCCAGCGGCUCACCGAUUCCCUGAACAGGAGAAAUGGAAGGGAUGCUGCAGUUAUUAGUCAUGUGCAAGAGAAGCUCUCGGCAUCUCGUAAGCUGCUGCAGCAGCUGAAGGCUCAGGAGCAGUCUAUCCAGAAGGCUCAGAAGAAAGCAGAUACGCAUAAGAAAAUGACUGAAUUUUGACGCAUGCCUUCUUGCAUAUGGGAGUGUAAAUAAUGACCUGUCGUCUUUGUACUGAUGUUAUUAGCGCUCGUGUUUACGCCGAAAGCAGUGAUUAAUUUGGAACUUUUGUUUUAGCAGAACACCUUCUUGUCAUAUUUUACAAAAUGGUAAAAUGCUUCAUGUAAUUUGUUCUGUACUUUUUAAAAACACACUUUUGUCCUUUUAUGUUCCACUUUUAUUUUGAGAAUAUUUCCUCGCGUCUGUAAAUUCUUUUCACCACUCGGGAAAUCAGUAAGAGAAAAGACGGUAGAUGAAUCACGAUCGUUGCUUUGAAUUAAAUUUUUGAACGUC